AUCUAGCUGAUGAGUCCCAAAUAGGAGGAAGCGCGCGUCCUGUAU
rnacentral:hammerhead_ribozyme from 1 species